rnacentral:lncRNA from 1 species
UUUGGUUUUUUGCUUUGUUUUGUUUUUUUUUAAUGAAACAAGUAUAUUUCAGCUCUCCUAAUUACUAAAGGUGGCUGUCUAAAUUGGAGUUUUUGAAAGGGUCAAAUGGUUUUUGUACUCACUGUGUUUUUACUGCAAGACUUUUGAAUAACUCUCAAGCCUUCUUUACACGCACAAAAAGUUCUCCAGUUUCUUAAUAAGGAAAAAGGAAGGGCUUGAAUCCCAUGCCCACUCGCAUGUGCUCUUGGACUGCAUUCCUGGCUUUUACCUGUUUAUAUAAGCCUGGUUCCAGGAUUCCUUUAGUGGAGCACAGCCCCACAUGGCAGUGAGUGUAAGCAAAAGCCCCGGGAACCAGAGCUGAGAGAUGGGGAAGGACGGAGCCUGAGCCUUUCUGGAUGGAUUAGGCCACCUCUUGAUUUCUUACUCCUUUCUAGAAGGUUUUACACAAACAUUUCUUCAGUCCUUUUGCUUUAGUCUCAUCCAUGUAACCUUAAGAUUCUUAGGUUGUGGUUUGGGAACUGUCAGUCAUUAGAUACUUAAUACUAUCGUAUUCAAGGUGGAUCAUACUGUGCAAUGUGGUAAGGAAGAUGUAGACUUCUUAAAAGUGUCUGAAAUAUUUCUAGACAAAAUUAAGGUCAACACAGCAAGGUUCCUAAGAUAAACUCUGCUGUCUAUUGGAGGAGAGCAAAUACGGAACCGACGUGUGCUUCAGUUUUACACAGAGAUCAGUGACACAGCCCUUCUGCCUUUAAGAAGUAUAUAUCAAAUACCUCGAAAACCAUUCCGUGGUUUAAAUAUUUGGGCAAUAGCUCAGAACUGCAGGUCUACCUGUUGGUAAUGCCUUUGAUCCUGGCCUGUGCCUGAGCUCCUCAUACUGCGGUGCUGACUGAUAGGAACCAUUUUGAGUUGGAGAACCACUGCUGUGUUUAUACUUGCAGAGGUAAUAAUGUUGAUUGACUGAGCCAUGCAGUACUGAUGGUUUGUUUUAAUUUUCUUAAGUGCACAUGGCUGCAUUGAGUUAACAAAUGUAUCAAAAUAUUUUUUUAGAGUAGUCAUUUGAGAUAGUUGUUUGUAUUAGUUUACAUUAUAAAUUUCUUUGAGUGUAAUCAUUAUUUAGACCUGUUGUGUCCAUUUCAGAAAUUAACUACAUACAGAG